GACGAACGCUGGCGGCGUGCCUAAUACAUGCAAGUAGAACGCAGUUGCGAACGGGUGAGUAACGCGUAGGUAACUUCCUGGUAGCGGGGAGUAACUAUUGGAACCGAUAGCUAAUACCGCAUAAUACACAAUGGACCUGCGUUGUAUUAGCAAGGGGUGGGGGGAACGGCUCACCAGGACAACUAUACAUAGCCGACCUGAGAGGGGGAGCGGCAACACUGGGACUGAGACACGGCCCAGAAUCCUACGGUAGGCAGCAGUAGGGAAUCUGCGGAAAUGGACGGAAGUCUGACCGAGCAACGCGGCGUGAGUGAAGAAGGUUGUCGGAUCGUAAAGCUCUGUUGUAAGAGAAGCGGUAUCUUACCAGAAAGGGACGGCUAACUACGUGCCAGCAGCCGCGGUAAUUC
rnacentral:rRNA from 1 species